GCUAAUGUAGCACAGUGGUAGUGCAGCUGAUUCGUAAUCAGCAGGUCGUGGGUUCAAUCCCCACCAUUAGCUCCA
rnacentral:tRNA from 3 species